AAGCCUUGCGUGAUUAAAAUAGGGCCUUUAGGUUUGAAGGAUGAAGCGGAGCCAAUGUUUUGACCUCAAAUGUCGGGGGAGGGGGAGAAGAACCAACAGAUCGAAACAAGGAACAUUUGAACGAAGUGCAGAUAACUCUUCAAAAACUUUUGUAGGAAAAGCGCCUCGUGUGAUCUGGAACAAAGACGUUUUAUAAUCAGAUUUAUCAAGCUGCGAAGAGGGAGUUUUAGCGAACGGAAGCAGCAGCAUUCUGUCACCAGGAAAUACUGCUUCAUCCAGAAUUGCACCUGAGAAGAAUAUCUG